rnacentral:rRNA from 1 species
UACGUAGGGUGCGAGCGUUAAUCGGAAUUACUGGGCGUAAAGCGCGCGCAGGCGGUUUUGUAAGCCAGAUGUGAAAUCCCCGGGCUUAACCUGGGAAUGGCAUUUGGGACUGCAAGGCUUGAGUGCGGCAGAGGAGACUGGAAUUCCUGGUGUAGCAGUGAAAUGCGUAGAUAUCAGGAGGAACACCGAUGGCGAAGGCAGGUCUCUGGGCUGACACUGACGCUCAUGCACGAAAGCGUGGGGAGCAAACAGG